rnacentral:rRNA from 1 species
AUUGAACGCUGGCGGCAGGCCUAACACAUGCAAGUCGAGCGGGGUUUUCGGACCUAGCGGCGGACGGGUGAGUAAUGCGUAGGAAGCUACCCGAUAGAGGGGGAUACCAGUUGGAAACGACUGUUAAUACCGCAUAAUGUCUACGGACCAAAGUGUGGGACCUUCGGGCCACAUGCUAUCGGAUGCGCCUACGUGGGAUUAGCUAGUUGGUGAGGUAAUGGCUCACCAAGGCGACGAUCCCUAGCUGGUUUGAGAGGAUGACCAGCCACACUGGAACUGAGACACGGUGCAGACUCCUGCGGGAGGCAUAAGUGGGGAAUAUUGGACAAUGGGCGCAAGCCUGAUCCAGCCAUGCCGCGUGUGUGAAGAAGGCCUUCGGGUUGUAAAGCACUUUCAGUAGGGAGGAAGCGUUGUGUGUUAAUAGUACACAGCGUUGACGUUACCUACAGAAGAAGCACCGGCUAACUCUGUGCCAGCCGCCGCGGUAAAAC